rnacentral:rRNA from 1 species
GUAAGGAAUAUUGCACAAUGGGCGAAAGCCUGAUGCAGCAACGCCGCGUGCGCGAUGAAGGCCUUCGGGUUGUAAAGCGCUUUUCCGGGGGAAGAGUAAGGACGGUACCUCGGGAAUAAGUCUCGGCUAACUACGUGCCAGCAGCCGCGGUAACACGUAGGAGACGAGCGUUAUCCGGAUUUAUUGGGCGUAAAGAGCAUGUAGGCGGGCUCUUAAGUCGGAUGUGAAAUCUCUUGGCUUAACCGGGAGGGGUCAUUCGAUACUGGGGGUCUUGAGGGCAGGAGAGGGAAGUAGAAUUCCCGGUGUAGUGGUGGAAUACGUAGAUAUCGGGAGGAAUACCAGUGGCGAAAGCGGCUUCCUGGCCUGUGCCUGACGCUGAGAUGCGAAAGCGUGGGUAGCAAACGGGAUUAGAAACCCCGGUAGUCC